UUUUAACUUAUUAGCACGCAUAAAGUAUUUUACAAGAUGAAAUAUUUUACAAAAUGAAGGUAUUUAAAUGCAAACAGGUAUUAUCAACUAAACGUAGAUAAGAAAGAAGUCUAGAAAUAACAGCGCUGCGGCCAUUAAACAGUAAAAAGCUGAACUAUAUGACACAAGCAGUAUCCACUGUUUGGCGGUCUUUUUUAAAGAAAGUGCGUCUGUCCCAGGAUUUGUUACCGAACACACUAGUGAAGAUCUGUGUUGCAGAAACCUGCUUUGGACGAGUAAUUGUAAGAAUUCAGAGUGUUAAAUGAAAGCAGUCGAGAACUUCUAACCCCAUUGAGGUCUCUCCUAACCUCCAUCCUAGAGUGGCUGCAUAACAACGGGAUUCCUGCUUUACCCUAUCAGGCUUAAUUCUUAAAUCUACAAGAAAAAAACGCAUCGUGGGGCAAUAUAAGGAAAAUAAGACAUCUGGGGACGUCACAUAAUGUUCCGGCACCGGAUAAAUUAAAAAAGAAAAAAAAGAAGAAGAAGAAGAAGGCCAUCGAGGAAUUCGAAGAAUGCGAAGAUUACGAAGAUAACAAUAGAUUCUUUCUGGUCGGCGGCAAAAAAAGAGAAGAAUGAAAACAAAAGGCGGGGAAGAGCAGAAACCCUAGGAACUUUCACACGACCACUGCCACCAACUUAUGAUAAAUGGAUCUUUCGUUAAGGAUCAUUUUCAACGAUUGCUUUCGUAAUGGAGUAUCGGUAUAAUUAAUAACGGAACAACUGUGGAGAACUAUCGAAGAAGCGGUAGGAGCGGGGGUAGGAUCGAAGGAGGUAAAGAAAAAAGAAAUUCUUCCUUUAUGGCGUUUAAUGGGAUUCUUCGCACUUCGGGCCUGGCUCCGACAAAGGGCCAAUUCUGGUUCGGGCCAAAGGGCCUCCUACCAAAUUAGAAAGCUCUGAAUGAUUUAUCGGCCAGGGAUAUUAAAUUAGAAGGAAUUUCGUGGCUCGAAACCAGCAUCGGCCCGGGUACUUGUUCGUUUAAUACCAAUAAUUCCCUCGCACUACCAACAAACAUUGAAAACAUCCUUUGAUACCUUAUUUACCCUUCGCUAAAAAACAAGAUUUAAUUGACGAGUCGUCACACGAAUUGGCGUAAUUAGGCAGAUAAUUGCUGUUCUAAAAUUCUGAAGUUGAAACAUUUUUAAAGGCACCCUAGAAAAGUAUCUUAAUUACGCUAGUGAUAUAAGGAGAUAAAGAUUUAUUUUUAGAGGAUAAAAAAAUAGGAACACUAUGGUUUUCAGAU